GACGAACGCUGGCGGCGUGCUUAACACAUGCAAGUCGAACGGAAAGGCCCUGCUUUUGUGGGGUGCUCGAGUGGCGAACGGGUGAGUAACACGUGAGUAACCUGCCCUUGACUUUGGGAUAACUUCAGGAAACUGGGGCUAAUACCGGAUAGGAGCUCCUGCUGCAUGGUGGGGGUUGGAAAGUUUCGGCGGUUGUGGAUGGACUCGCGGCUUAUCAGCUUGUUGGUGGGGUAGUGGCUUACCAAGGCUUUGACGGGUAGCCGGCCUGAGAGGGUGACCGGCCAAAUUGGGACUGAGAGACGGCCCAGAAUCCUACGGGAGGGAGCAGUGGGGAAUAUUGCACAAUGGGGGGAAGCCUGAUGCAGCAAAGCCGCGUGCGGGAUGAAGGCCUUCGGGUUGUAAAAAGCUUUCGCCUGUGACGAAGCGAGAGUGACGGUAAUGGGUAAAGAAGCACCGGCUAACUACGUG
rnacentral:rRNA from 1 species